UGGCUGCAUGGCUGUCGGUCAGCUCGUGUCGUGAGAUGUCGGUUAAGUCCGCUAACGAGCGCAACCCUCGCUGUGUGUUACAAGUGUCACACGGAACUGCCGGUCAUAAACCGGAGGAAGGUGGGGAUGACGUCAAGUCAGCAUGGCCUUUAUAUCCUGGGCUACACACACGCUACAAUGGGAAGGGACAAUAGGUUGCGAAGCCGCGAGGCGGAGCCAAUCCAGCAAAACUUCCCUCAGUUCAGAUUGCAGGCUGCAACCCGCCUGCAUGAAGUUGGAGUUGCUAGUAAACGCAGGUCAGCCAUACUGCGUUGAAUACGUUCCCGGGGCUU
rnacentral:rRNA from 1 species